rnacentral:rRNA from 1 species
UCAGAGUGAACGCUGGCGGUAGGCCUAACACAUGCAAGUCGAACGGCAGCACAGUAAGAGCUUGCUCUUAUGGGUGGCGAGUGGCGGACGGGUGAGGAAUACAUCGGAAUNUACUUUUUCGUGGGGGAUAACGUAGGGAAACUUACGCUAAUACCGCAUACGACCUACGGGUGAAAGCAGGGGAUNUUCGGACCUUGCGCGAUUGAAUGAGCCGAUGUCGGAUUAGCUAGUUGGCGGGGUAAAGGCCCACCAAGGCGACGAUCCGUAGCUGGUNUGAGAGGAUGAUCAGCCACACUGGAACUGAGACACGGUCCAGACUCCUACGGGAGGCAGCAGUGGGGAAUAUUGGACAAUGGGCGCAAGCCUGAUCCAGCCAUACCGCGUGGGUGAAGAAGGCCUUCGGGUUGUAAAGCCCUUUUGUUGGGAAAGAAAUCCAGCCGGUUAAUACCUGGUUGGGAUGACGGUACCCAAAGAAUAAGCACCGGCUAACUUCGUGCCAGCAGCCGCGGUAAUACGAAGGGUGCAAGCGUUACUCGGAAUUACUGGGCGUAAAGCGUGCGUAGGUGGUUGUUUAAGUCUGUUGUGAAAGCCCUGGGCUCAACCUGGGAACUGCAGUGGAAACUGGGCAACUAGAGUGUGGUAGAGGGUAGCGGAAUUCCCGGUGUAGCAGUGAAAUGCGUAGAGAUCGGGAGGAACAUCCAUGGCGAAGGCAGCUNCNGGNCCA